rnacentral:rRNA from 1 species
GUGGUUUAAUUCGAAGCAACGCGAAGAACCUUACCAGGUCUUGACAUCGAUCUAAAAGGGAUGGAGACAUCCUCAUAGCUAUAGAGAAGACAGGUGGUGCAUGGUUGUCGUCAGCUCGUGUCGUGAGAUGUUGGGUUAAGUCCCGCAACGAGCGCAACCCCUGUCGCCAGUUACCAUCAUUAAGUUGGGGACUCUGGAGAGACUGCCUCUGCAAGGAGGA